rnacentral:misc_RNA from 1 species
UCCGGCUUAUCACCGGCAGUUCCCCUAGAGUGCCCGGCCGAACCGAUGGCAACUAAGGGCAAGGGUUGCGCUCGUUGCGGGACUUAACCCAACAUCUCACGACACGAGCUGACGACAGCCAUGCAGCACCUGUGCACGUGUCCCGAAGGAGGGCCCUGCUUUCACAAGGCUUUCACGUGCAUGUCAAACCCAGGUAAGGUUCCUCGCGUUGCAUCGAAUUAAGCCACAUGCUCCGCCGCUUGUGCGGGUCCCCGUCAAUUCCUUUGAGUUUUAGCCUUGCGGCCGUACUCCCCAGGCGGGGCACUUAAUGCGUUAGCGCCGGCACGGGAGGAGUCGACACCUCCCACACCUAGUGCCCAUCGUUUACGGCAUGGACUAC